rnacentral:rRNA from 1 species
CCUACGGGUGGCAGCAGUGGGGAAUAUUGCGCAAUGGGCGAAAGCCUGACGCAGCGACGCCGCGUGAGGGAUGAAGGUCUUCGGAUCGUAAACCUCUGUUAGUAGGGAAGAACGGACACGGUGCUAAUCAGCAGCGAAUUGACGGUACCUGCAAAGGAAGCACCGGCUAACUCCGUGCCAGCAGCCGCGGUAAUACGGAGGGUGCGAGCGUUAAUCGGAAUUAUUGGGCGUAAAGCGCUCGUAGGCGGUAUGUUAAGUCAAGGGUGAAAUCCCCGCGCUCAACGUGGGAACUGCCUUUGAAACUGGCAAACUGGAGUGUGUAAGAGGAUAGUGGAAUUCCAGGUGUAGGAGUGAAAUCCGUAGAUAUCUGGAGGAACAUCAGUGGCGAAGGCGACUAUCUGGCACAUAACUGACGCUGAGGAGCGAAAGCGUGGGUAGCAAACAGGAUUAGAUACCCGUGUAGUC